rnacentral:rRNA from 1 species
AGUGAACGCUGGCGGUAGGCCUAACACAUGCAAGUCGAACGGCAGCACAGUAAGAGCUUGCUCUUACGGGUGGCGAGUGGCGGACGGGUGAGGAAUACAUCGGAAUCUACUUUUUCGUGGGGGAUAACGUAGGGAAACUUACGCUAAUACCGCAUACGACCUACGGGUGAAAGCAGGGGAUCUUCGGACCUUGCGCGAUUGAAUGAGCCGAUGUCGGAUUAGCUAGUUGGCGGGGUAAAGGCCCACCAAGGCGACGAUCCGUAGCUGGUCUGAGAGGAUGAUCAGCCACACUGGAACUGAGACGCGGUCCAGACUCCUACGGGAGGCAGCAGUGGGGAAUAUUGGACAAUGGGCGCAAGCCUGAUCCAGCCAUACCGCGUGGGUGAAGAAGGCCUUCGGGUUGUAAAGCCCUUUUGUUGGGAAAGAAAAGCAGCAGGUUAAUACCCCGCUGUUCUGACGGUACCCAAAGAAUAAGCACCGGCUAACUUCAUG